CUUAAAUGUAGAGUGCAUUUUUAGAGAUAGAAAUUCCCUUCGGGCUUUCUGCAAGGUGCUGCAUGGCUGUCGUCAGCUCGUGCCGUGAGGUGUCGGGUUAAGUCCCAUAACGAGCGCAACCCUUAUCGUUAGUUGCCAUCUGGUAAUGCAGGGGACUCUAGCGAAACUGCCACCGUAAGGUGAGAGGAAGUGGGGAUGACGUCAAAUCAGCACGGCCCUUAUGUCCAGGGCUACACACGUGUUACAAUGGUCGGUACAGAGGGCAGCUACCUGGUGACAGGAUGCUAAUCUCGAAAACCGGUCUCAGUUCGGAUCGAAGUCUGCAACUCGACUUCGUGAAGCUGGAUUCGCUAGUAAUCGCGCAUCAGCUAUGGCGCGGUGAAUACGUUCCCGGGCCUU
rnacentral:rRNA from 1 species